AUAAAAAAUGGAGAUAAAAAAGUGAAAAAAAAAGAGAGAAGAAAAGGAAGUCCUUCUUCCCUUCCUCCAAGCCCAUAUUCUAGUCACAGCCAAAAUUCCAAACCCACAUGAACCCUCCCCCUCUUCGUCUUCAUCCUCCUCCACCUCAUCAUCAUAUCACUGUCGAUAUGAGCUAGCACAUCAUUUGUAAAUAUAGAGGGGAAGGAAUCAAUCAGAUCCAUUCGUUCACGUCCAUCUAUUAGUCUGGUUUGUCUCGCCAUCAAAUCCUUUCGUGAAUUUCAGACUCUAAGGCUAUGAUUGACAUGCAAUUUCUGACUUGAACUUUGUUAAUAGACCAUAAGAGCAGCAAGGCUCGGAGUUGGGAUGCGAUUGGCUUUUUUCCAUCGAUGCCGAGGAAGUUGUUCACAUCAUGAUUACUAGUUCAUUUUCUUCAUUCCUUCUGUUGCCCUGUUCUUCAGUAAUCUUCUUCUAUAAAACCUAGAAAAGGGUUUAACCAAAACCCAAAUCUCACACCCUUGAAUUCGUUGACGUCCUCGCGUGAUGGAAGAGCCCGAGCAUAGCCUUAAGUGUGGGAGGGGAAUGGAAUUCAAAGCCUUGAUUUUUACUUGUAGAGCGGUAUGGGCUUGGAGGGGAAGGAAGAGCUUAAGCACGAUUCAAGUUCGUCAAAUUCAAAGCGUUGACUUUUUAUUGAGACCAAUAGUUUGUAUUGUAUUAUAGUUAUGAGAUUAUGGUUUUCUAAUUUGUCUUCAGAUUUUUUGUUUUAGAUUAAUCUUGUAAUGAUUUUUUAUAUCUUUAGGUUUGAUUUAUUCUAGUUUCUGCUUUGAUAUAUUUCUGGGUUCGAUCUUUUUAAAUUAACCCAAUCUUCAUUGAAGUUACAUCUCCUUGGCUUCAUCACUUGGAUUUUGGCGUGGCUGGAUGUGUGUCAAUGGUCUUUUUGGCAUAAAUUUUGCUAACUCUCUGCCUGGUUCAUAUGAAGAGAACUUGAAUUCUUGAUCUGGGGUUUAGUUUCUUGUGUUUUUGCCUGCUCUUAGAUGUUUUAGAAAGCCUCAUGUUCUGGAUCUGGGUUUUCAAUUCUUGACUGACAUCCGGCAAGGUAUAAGGGAGAUGAAGCAUUUGCCAAGGUGAAACUCAGGAACUUCGAAGGCAGCCUGAUGAGAUUUGGGAUCAUCAUUCAUUAGGGAGCUUCACCUUGAUCUUCAUUCAACAUAAAGCAAGAAGGUGAUUAGGGAUCUCAUUUCACCCAUGAGAGUGAUUUCGAAAAUUAGGGAUUUGAGUUCUGCACAAAGCGAUUGGGUGAUCCAACUUCGUCUUUGAGUGUUAGGGCGAUUCGACUUUGUCUUCAUGCAGCCAGUUGAUCUCAUUCAUCAGAAAGAGGACCUAGAAUUCAUGGAUUAGUAUUCAAAUGGCUGCUUACUAGUUACUUCCCAUAGUUUCAUUCGAAAUGCUUGCUUGCUUUGAUUCUUAUGUUACAAAACAUAAGAUGCCCAAACUACAUCUUUGUUCGACUAGUUGCUUUGAAUUUGAUAGGUCAUAGUGUAAUUUUAUGAACUUCAUAGUUAUAGUCUAAUUUUAUUUUAGGAUAAUAAUUACUUGGUAUAUUUUGAUAGGUUCACUCAUUGAAUUUUUCUUCUCUUGAAAAUGGUUCCCUCUCUAGAUGGGCUGUAACCCCAAACACAUUCUGAUAAUCUGAUUUCAUGUAUGUUUAACAGAAUUGCAAUGGUAGGUUGUGUGCCUAUAGAACCCCCAAGCUUUUAUUCUAAAAUGAUGCAAGACUUAGUGGCAGCAAUAUGGUUUGGUGGAAGUAUUGAUUCUUGAAAAGUACUAAGAAGAGAAUGAGAGCAUGAAGGAAAACAAAGAGAAGGAGAGCAUGAAGGAAGAGAAACAACAUUUGAAAGAAGACAAAGCACACUUGAAACAAGAGAAUGAGGGCAUGGUGAAAGAGAUUGAGAGGUUGAAGAUAAAUUUAUAGAGCUUAAAGAUUGUGUUGUUUAUUAGUGGCUAUCAUGUAUCUUUUAUUGUACUAAAAGUAGUGGAAUGUACUAAAAAGUAGUGGAAUAUGACGUAGGUAGAUAGACCACUGUUAUUGUAAUUUAUGAAACUAUUAUUAUGAAAGAAAGAUGAGUUUUGUUGCUAA